rnacentral:rRNA from 1 species
AGUUUUUCGCAAUGGGCGCAAGCCUGACGAAGCAACGCCGCGUGGAGGAUGAAGGCCUUCGGGUCGUAAACUCCUGUCGACCGGGACGAAAGCAGUCCGACCCAAUACGUCGGGCUGUUGACUGUACCGGUGGAGGAAGCCCCGGCUAACUCUGUGCCAGCAGCCGCGGUAAUACAGAGGUGGCAAGCGUUGUUCGGAAUUACUGGGCGUAAAGGGCGCGUAGGCGGCUUGGUAAGUCCCGUGUGAAAUCCCUCGGCUCAACUGAGGAACUGCACGGGAAACUGCCUGGCUUGAGUUCGGGAGAGGGAAGCGGAAUUCCGGGUGUAGCGGUGAAAUGCGUAGAUAUCCGGAGGAACACUGGUGGCGAAGGCGGCUUCCUGGACCGACACUGACGCUGAGGCGCGAAAGCUAGGGGAGCAAAC